AACGAACGCUGGCGGCAUGCCUAACACAUGCAAGUCGAACGAGACCUUCGGGUCUAGUGGCGCACGGGUGCGUAACGCGUGGGAACCUGCCCUUAGGUUCGGAAUAACUCCCCGAAAGGGGUGCUAAUACCGGAUAAUGUCUUCGGACCAAAGAUUUAUCGCCUGUGGAUGGGCCCGCGUUGGAUUAGCUAGUUGGUAGGGUAAAAGCCUACCAAGGCGACGAUCCAUAGCUGGUCUGAGAGGAUGAUCAGCCACACUGGGACUGAGACACGGCCCAGACUCCUACGGGAGGCAGCAGUGGGGAAUAUUGGACAAUGGGCGAAAGCCUGAUCCAGCAAUGCCGCGUGAGUGAUGAAGGCCUUAGGGUUGUAAAGCUCUUUUACCCGGGAUGAUAAUGACAGUACCGGGAGAAUAAGCUCCGGCUAACUCCGU
rnacentral:rRNA from 1 species